rnacentral:rRNA from 1 species
GACGAACGCUGGCGGCGUGCCUAAUACAUGCAAGUCGAACGCAUUUUCUUUCACCGUAGCUUGCUACACCGAAAGAAAAUGAGUGGCGAACGGGUGAGUAACACGUGGGUAACCCGCCCAUCAGCGGGGGAUAACACUUGGAAACAGGUGCUAAUACCGCAUAAUUCCAUUUACCGCAUGGUAGAUGGAUGAAAGGCGCUUUUGCGUCACUGAUGGAUGGACCCGCGGUGCAUUAGCUAGUUGGUGGGGUAACGGCCUACCAAGGCUGCGAUGCAUAGCCGACCUGAGAGGGUGAUCGGCCACACUGGGACUGAGACACGGCCCAGACUCCUACGGGAGGCAGCAGUAGGGAAUCUUCGGCAAUGGACACAAGUCUGACCGAGCAACGCCGCGUGAGUGAAGAAGGUUUUCGGAUCGUAAAACUCUGUUGUUAGAGAAGAACAAGGAUGAGAGUGGAAAGUUCAUCCCUUGACGGUAUCUAACCAGAAAGCCACGGCUAACUACGU